rnacentral:rRNA from 1 species
UACGGAGGGUGCAAGCGUUAUCCGGAAUCAUUGGGUUUAAAGGGUCCGCAGGCGGACUUAUAAGUCAGUGGUGAAAGCCUACAGCUUAACUGUAGAACUGCCAUUGAUACUGUAAGUCUUGAAUUCGGUCGAAGUGGGCGGAAUGUAUAGUGUAGCGGUGAAAUGCUUAGAUAUUACACAGAACACCGAUAGCGAAGGCAGCUCACUAGGCCUGGAUUGACGCUCAGGGACGAAAGCGUGGGGAUCAAACAGG